rnacentral:rRNA from 1 species
ACAGCAGUCGCCGCGGUAAAACGUAGGGCGCGAGCGUUAAUCGGAAUUACUGGGCGUAAAGCGCGCGCAGGCGGUUAUAUAAGACAGAUGUGAAAUCCCCGGGCUCAACCUGGGACCUGCAUUUGUGACUGUAUAGCUAGAGUACGGUAGAGGGGGAUGGAAUUCCGCGUGUAGCAGUGAAAUGCGUAGAUAUGCGGAGGAACACCGAUGGCGAAGGCAAUCCCCUGGACCUGUACUGACGCUCAUGCACGAAAGCGUGGGGAGCAAACAGGAUUAGAGACCCCCGUAGUCCCUGUCUCUUAUCC